CGUUAAGGCAAAAUAGCGGAGGAAGCUCCUGUUUGUUUUGUUUUCUUCAAUUUUCGCUUCUUUUUCUUUUCCGUGGCUGACUUUUGACUCCACAACUAAGCUAAGCAAAGUAGCGAGCAAAAACGCAAAAGCGGUAGUUGAAUUUUUGGUUGUGGAAUUGUCGCGUUGGAAUUGGAGGGAGAAGAGAAGAGGAUUAUUAGCACAAAAGCAGAAGCAGAAUCGCGUUUGGAUGGAAGCGGUGGCGGAGGGGCUAUGGGGACUGGCGGAGUACCACGAGAAGAGAGGGGAAAUAGGGAAAGCAGUGAAGUGCCUCGAAGCCAUAUGCCAAAGCGACGCGUCGUUUUUCCCUAUCGUCGAGGUCAAGACUCGUCUUCGCAUCGCCACGCUUCUCCUCCAGCAUUCUCACAACGUCAACCACGCCAAGUCGCACCUCGAACGUUCCCAAUUGCUUCUGAAGUCUAUUCCGUCUUGCUUCGAAUUGAAGUGCAGAGCGUACAGCUUGCUCAGCCAGUGUUACCAUCUCGUCGGAGCUAUUCCGCCGCAGAAACAGGUCUUGCACAAGGGACUCGAGCUCACUGCGUCCGUUGGAUACGAGAUUUCCAUGAAGUUGUGGUUUUGCAACUUCAAUUCACAGCUUGCAAAUGCUUUAUCAAUUGAAGGAGACUACCAGGGUUCAAUCUCUGCCUUAGAGUGUGGAUAUGCCUGUGCUACUGAAGUAUGCUUCCCGGAGUUGCAGUUGUUUUUUGCCACUUCAAUAUUGCAUGUCCGCCUCAUGCAAUGGGAUGAUGAUAAUUUGGUUGAGCAAGCUGUUAAUAGAUGCAACCAGAUUUGGGAGUCAAUUGAUCCAGAUAAAAGACGACAAUGCCCUGGCUUACUAUUUUAUAAUGAAUUACUGCACAUAUUCUAUCGACUGCGGCUAUGUGAUUACAAGAAUGCUGCACCCCAUGUAGACAAUCUGGAUGCUGCCAUGAAGAUUGAUAUGCAGCAAACACAACGUAUACAAGAGCUAGUGAAUGAGCUCAAUGCUUUAGACCAAAGUCUCUCCCGAUCUGACCUUCACUACAGGGAUAGGACAGCAUUAUCUAAAAAGCAAACAAUGAUUCAGGAGCAACUGAAAAGCAUGACUGGAUUGUGUUCAAUUGGGCAGGAAUCACUGCAACCAGUAUAUUUUGGGAAUGUCAGAAGGAUAAUAGGAGAUAAGCUUCAGUUAGCACCUCCUCCUAUUGAUGGCGAAUGGCUUCCUAAAAGUGCUGUCUAUGCAUUAGUUGAUCUAAUAGUAGUUGUAUUUGGGCGCCCAAAAGGACUUUUUAAGGAGUGUGCAAAACGCAUACAGUCUGGGAUGAAUAUAAUUCAAGAUGAGUUAGUGAAGCUUGGAAUUACUGAUGGUGUUAGAGAAGUGGAUUUACAACACUCUUCUAUUUGGAUGGCUGGUGUGUACUUAAUGCUACUAAUUCAGUUUCUUGAAAACAAAGUGGCUAUAGAGCUCACGCGAGCAGAAUUUGUUGAAGCACAAGAGGCUUUGGUACAGAUGAAAAAUUGGUUCAUGCGGUUUCCAACCAUAUUACAGGCAUGUGAAUGCAUCAUUGAGAUGCUUAGAGGCCAAUAUGCUCAUUCAGUUGGCUGUUAUCACGAAGCUGCUUUUCAUUUUAUUGAAGCAGUGAAGCUUACAGACAGCAAAUCAAUGCAAGCUAUGUGCCAAGUUUAUGCAGCUGUCUCUUACAUCUGCAUUGGUGAUGCUGAAUCUUCUUCACAGGCACUUGAUUUGAUUGGGCCGGUUUAUGGAGUAAUGGAUUCUUUCGUAGGAGUUAGAGAGAAAACAGGUGUUCUUUUUGCUUAUGGUCUUUUAUUGAUGAAGCAACAGGAUCUACAAGAAGCAAGGAAUCGCCUGGCAAGGGGAUUGCAGCUGACACAUACGUAUUUGGGGAACCUUCAACUUGUUUCACAAUAUUUGACGAUCCUUGGUAGUUUGGCCCUGGCAUUACGUGACACUGUACAAGCCAGAGAGAUAUUGAGAUCUUCUUUGACCUUAGCAAAGAAACUUUAUGAUAUUCCUACUCAGAUUUGGGUGCUAUCUGUUUUGACAGCCUUAUAUAAAGAAUUAGGUGAAAGGGGGAAUGAAAUGGAGAAUGCUGAGUAUCAAAACAAAAAAUUAGAAGAUUUGCAGAGGAGACUUACUAAUGCACAUGCAUCCAUUUAUCAUAUUGAAAUAAUCGACAAAGUAAGACUUGAAGUUCACCAAUUAAAUGAUUUGGACAUCAAGCGUGCAGUGGCAGGCCCAACUAUGGGAGUCAAUCUUGAUAUUCCAGAAUCAAUUGGUCUGUCAGCACCCUUACCUGCUCCAUCAUCAUCUAGGCUAGUUGAUAUAGACACCAGAAGACGGGGAAAACGGAGAAUUUAGUGUUUUCCUUGUACAGGCAAAUCCAUUAUUGUGAAUUACUUGCUAUCUAUUGCUCCAAGGUCCAAGUGGGAUGAAGAGUUUAGCAGAUAGGGUUUCCAGCUUCCUAGCAAGAUCCGUAGUGCACUCGCAUCUCUUCCUCAGAUUUUGACGAUGUGCGUAUGUCGAACACCUAAGUGAGCAUCAAGACCAGAUCCGUGGCGCACUCUCAACACUUUGCGGCAAAGUCGAAACCUUUUGGAGACCAAAUUCUUUCGUUGCUUGCUUGCUUCCAUUGGAGGGUGUCGCUUGGGGCACCGAGCAUUUUUUUGGGGCAUCCAGCAACGUGGGUGAAAGGGUAAAAAUGCCCUUCACCUUUAAUAUAAAAGCAGCACAGUGACUCGUCCGUACAAAUCACUGUACAUUUCCAAAAAAAUUUCUCCUUCGUCCCUCCUCGAGAAGCCUUCUUCUUCUUCUUCUUCCAAAAUCUGCCUCCUCUUCUCCUCUCCGGCGACCUCUUCUUCGUUGCCUCCUCUUCACUUCCUCGAGUUGUUCUCCCGUCAAGAAUGUCACCACACUCUCGUGCGUCGUCAUCACGUUGGACCAGCCUCAAUGAGAAACUGGAAGAGCUUGUUGCGAAUGUGCCUAGUAAGAAUUAACAUUUAGUUACUUAAAUGUUAAUUCUGUUUUGUGCUUGAAUGCCUGUUAAUUGGUUGAUUAUGUCAAAAUUAACCAUUGAAGAACACGGAGAGGGGAGGAAAAUGACAAACAGGAUGCUGAAUGUCGCGGCUCCAACAGAGGCUUUUUUCCAGACCGUUCACGCCAGGGACCAGAUUUUCGGUGAAGUUGGUAAGGUAUAUGCUGCCAAGUGGAAGGACAUACUGGAUAUUAUAUGACAUUUGGUUGACAAAGACGAAAAUUAUCAUAACGUUGUGUACAACAAAGAUUUGGAUCAACCAGCCAUUGUAGUAGGGUGAACAAUACUACGAGAUUUUUACCCGUUGACCGGAGAUCAUCUAGUAUCCUUGCAUCAUUAUGGUAAGAAUGUAUUUUUUCUUACUAUAUUCAAGAUUAGUUGCCUGUCCAGAUUAUGUUACCUUCAAGGGUUAUUUGACUGAGCAUAAAGUUUCCUAUAGCAGUCUCGACGUUCCAAGUCGCAUGUAUUAUUUUGUUAAAGACAAAGGUUGGACGCAUUUGCAUUUGGAGGACGUUGCAGAAUGUCGGCUCGUGUUCAAUCAUUAUAGGAAGACACUUAAAAUUGGAGCUAGAUGGAAAUAUUUCUGUGAGACCUUGUCGUUGAUCGCUGACAUGAAAAUUAUUUUUGAAUUCAUUGCUCCCAAUGUUAACCGUGUGCUCUAUUGGUCGUGUUUAUGAACAAUUUAGAAUUUUGAACAUUUUAAUUACUUUUAACAUUUUAAUAUUAUUAUGUACAUUUUAAUUCUUA